UACAUUAAGGUAACGAUAUAUAAAUUCAAAACUUUAAAGCCGUUUUUCUCGAGUUUAGCUUUUUGAGUUAUGACACUAUCGAAUUAAAUACAUAAGCGAUAUGUAGCGGUAGCCGAUCAGCAAUGAGCACUGUAUGUAGUAACUCUUUGCUGAUUAGCUCACUUGCUGCUCGCGUGUCUAUACGCUCUGCCUAACAAUGCUCCGCUUGCUCACUAUAAUCGCUUGCAUGUUCUCAAGCUGGUGGUGGCCUUAACGCCCGCCUUGCCUGCUGGUUGUUUGCGAAUAACGCUUUCGCUACUUUGGUCAUGAUUAGUCGUUCAUUUGUGGUCGUUCGCGAAUGUUGUGCUCCUAGCCGCCACCACUACCGCCAUCGUCGCUAUCAGUCUGGCCUUUUAGUUGGUGUCACCGCGUCGCGCCGUGUUUUGCAUUUUUUUCAUGUUUAUCGGCCUUCCACUGUUAAUCUCGUUUAACUGCGACGACGACUACGACGAAGACAACGAUCAACUUUGGAUUCAUUAUAGAAAAUUAAACGUAAAUUUAAUAUAAUAAUUAAAAAUAAAAUACAUCUAUGUAUGUUACGGGACAACCACGUUGGGAUAACGCAAAAUUAAAACACAAAAAAGGGCGAUUUGAAAAGAGCUAAUCCAUUCAAGGCUAAAGAAAAUAACAAAAAGAAAAUUUCAAAAUUUAAAAAUAUUUGCAACGCAGCAAGAUAAAGUUGGAGAAAAUUCACAAAAAAAAAAAAAAAAAAAUUACAAGCCAUCUAUAAUAAAUACUAGUAGGAAAAGUUAAUAGCACCGACAUAUGUAUUGUAUGUAGACGUAUGUACAUACAUAUAUACUACAUACGUAGAUACACGUACAUACAUGUGCAUAUAUUACCUAUAAAAGCUACAACCGCCUACGUUAGCGCCAUUAACAGCAAAGAGCAAGAAGCAAAUCGCGACAACUAAUAACCAAAUUUGAAACGUUAAUUACAGUAAUUGCAGCAAAAAUACAUAGAAAUUAAACAACAACAACAGACGUGGCAACAAUAUUUUAUAACAAACAAACAAA